GGGGAUGACCGGUUUUGACAAAAAGAACUUUCUAAAUUGUGCAGGCCGAGUAUUCUGAAAUCUCGUAGCGCCGUUUAAAGACGGCCAAAAACUUUCAGAAAAAAGAUAAGUGCAAACUUAUUUAGAACACCUGCUUUAGCAUACGCCUAAAGUAGCGUCGCCUUGCUGACUUCCGAUAGGCAAAUGGCGAUGUCAACAUCGGAAUAGGCAGAUAUUUUUUGGUUUUUAAGAUAUCUGCCGAAAAUGCCUAAAAACCGACCCAAAAAGAUUUUGCCGGAUUAAAACUUUUGGGGAACAAAAAUCCGGCUAAGCCUGUAGAGACAAUUUAGAAAACUUUUUGGACGGCGGUUCGAUUCCGCCCAUCUCCAAUU
rnacentral:tmRNA from 1 species